GUAGACAUAGUUUAGUUAAAAUUUUAGUUUGUGGUUCUAAAGAUAGGGGUUAAACCCCCCUUGUCCACC
rnacentral:tRNA from 1 species